GAUGAACGCUGGCGGCGUGCCUAAUACAUGCAAGUCGAGCGAACGGAUGAGAAGCUUGCUUCUCUGAUGUUAGCGGCGGACGGGUGAGUAACACGUGGAUACCCUACCUAUAAGACUGGGAUAACUUCGGGAAACCGGAGCCAAUACCGGAUAAUAUUUUGAACCGCAUGGUUCAAUAGUGAAACACGGUCUAGCUGUCACUUAUACAUGGAUCCGCGCUGCAUUAGCUAGUUGGUAAGGUAACGGCUUACCAAGGCAACGAUGCAUAGCCGACCUGAGAGGGUGAUCAGCCACACUGGAACUGAGACACGGUCCAGACUCCUACGGGAGGCAGCAGUAGGGAAUCUUCCGCAAUGGGCGAAAGCCUGACGGAGCAACGCCGCGUGAGUGAUGAAGGUCUUCGGAUCGUAAAACUCUGUUAUUAGGGAAGAACAUAUGUAUAAGUAACUGUGCACAUCUGGACGGUACCUAAUCAGAAAGCCACGGCUAACUUCGUG
rnacentral:rRNA from 1 species